rnacentral:lncRNA from 1 species
GUGACCUCAACUUUUUUGUCUGUUUUUAUUAUGAGGAUAUCAUAAACUUCACCCCUGGGAAGUUUCCGCAAAUUCUCAUUCCCAGAACAAUAUUGAUGAAUCACCUAGAAUCUUAUUUUUAUAAUGUCCUUUAGACGAGUGCAAAGAUUUGAUGUUGAUUGAGAAAAACCAGUUGGCUUCUGCAGCAUGGAAGCUCACAGGUGAAGAUGAGAAGCAAGUGUUCAAGAGUUCAUCAGAUGACCUCGAAUCAUGGCUGUUGGCAAAAACAUGAAGCACAGCCAGGAGGAAAAACCUAUAAUUUUGCCCGUUUAUACCGAAGCAGAAGAAAGGUUUUGGUUAUUCUAUGCUAUCACUAAGCCAACUUAAAUACAGCAAACAGGACCACUUACAAAGAUUACUGGUUGGACCUUAGUCCUACUAACUGAAGGUUACAAAGUCCUGCAUUCCAAACAAGGGACUUUACUGGGGAAAAACAUUCGUACAAUGCAUGGUCCCAUGUAUUUCACACUGACUGAAACCUUAGGCCAGACAAGUUACAACCUUCCACUAGGAAAUAGGCAAGCCAUUGAAAAAGCUCCUGGAAUGCUUAGUUAAGUAGCUUAAGUUUGGAGUAGUAAUGUAAAUAGAUUUUCCUAUACACUGUAAAAAAUUGUACAAUAUACGUUUUAUUGUAGUCGCUUAUUUAUAUCUAUUUUCUAAAGUUCAAACUUUGGAAGGACCUAAUAGUAAUAGUGAUCUAGCAAACUUUGACAUUUGUCUAGGCAUU